AAAAAGGGCUUGUGCCGUGAGUGGCACACAUAGGACAAUUCAGUUGCUCUGCAUGCAGAAUCAACAUCAAGAGAUUUCAGAAGCAUAAUUUUUUGGUACAUGGGCAGCUGGUGAUCAUUGGUCCCAGUUCCCUG
ensembl:snRNA